GACGAACCGGACAAACGUUAUUCGGAAUUACUGGGCUUAAAGGGUUCGUAGGCGGCCAUGUAAGUGAGGUGUGAAAUCCCUCGGCUCAACCGAGGAACUGCGCUUCAUACUGCAUGGCUUGAGGGAGACAGGGGUAAGCGGAACUGAUGGUGGAGCGGUGAAAUGCGUUGAUAUCAUCAGGAACACCGGUGGCGAAAGCGGCUUACUGGGUCUCUUCUGACGCUGAGGAACGAAAGCUAGGGUAGCGAACGGG
rnacentral:rRNA from 1 species